rnacentral:rRNA from 1 species
UACGAAGGGGGCUAGCGUUGCUCGGAAUCACUGGGCGUAAAGGGUGCGUAGGCGGGUCUUUAAGUCAGGGGUGAAAUCCUGGAGCUCAACUCCAGAACUGCCUUUGAUACUGAAGAUCUUGAGUUCGGGAGAGGUGAGUGGAACUGCGAGUGUAGAGGUGAAAAUUCGUAGAUAUUCGCAAGAACACCAGUGGCGAAGGCGGCUCACUGGCCCGAUACUGACGCUGAGGCACGAAAGCGUGGGGAGCAACAGG